rnacentral:lncRNA from 1 species
AAAAUUCUAACAAACUACCAUCUCAAAGUGUGAUUAAUCCAAAUAAUGUGGGUGUUAUCUCAUUGAGGUCAGGCAAACAGAUUGGAGUACCCUCACCAAACUCUGAUAAACAAAAUGAAGAUGAUCUAUCUACUUCUAAAAGAAAGUGUCUCGUUUAUGAGGAGUCUAGCACAAAAAUCCAUGUCAGUGAGCCUCAUUCCUCUUCUUCAACAACUUCACAACUACCACCUUCCAUUCUUCUUCCAUUUCCACCAAAAAUCACUCCUAGCAAGAAGAUGGAAGAAGUAGAUAAUGAGAUUCUUGAAACUUUCAGAAAAGUAUAGGUGAAUAUACUUCUACAUGAUGCUAUCAAACAGAUUCCAAUAUAUACAAAGUUUCUCGAGGAGUUGUGCACUCACAAAAGGAAGCUAAAGGGCAAUGAGAGGAUCAACAUGGGUAGGAAUGUUUCUGCACUCAUAGGUAAACCCACGCCUCAUAUUCCAGAAAAGUGUAAGGACCCAGGUACAUUCUCUAUACCUUGCAUCAUAGGUAAUAAUAAAUUUGAAAAUGCAAUGCUAGA